UACGUAGGGGGCAAGCGUUGUCCGGAUUUAUUGGGCGUAAAGAGCGUGUAGGCGGCUGGUAGGUCCGCUGUGAAAACUCGAGGCUCAACCUCGAGCUGUCGGCGGAAACCACUUGGCUAGAGUCCGGAAGAGGAGAGUGGAAUUCCCGGUGUAGCGGUGAAAUGCGCAGAUAUCGGGAAGAACACCUAUGGCGAAGGCAGCUCUCUGGGAACGGUACUGACGCUGAGACGCGAAAGCGUGGGGAGCGAACAGG
rnacentral:rRNA from 1 species